CUUGCUUAGGCACGAACCAGUAAACUACCACCACCGCGCGAAAGAAAAAAUUCAUCAAAACCCCCAACGAAAUAAAAAGAUUCUCUCUUUCUCUCGCCCCCUCCUCUCUGCCUCGAUUGAUUUGGUGUUCUCGCUUCCUGUUUUUGAUCGCUGUUGGUCGCUUGGAGCCUAUCUGGAUUCAGGAAGGGAGGAGAGAUACAGAAGCAGAAGCGAGCAUGAUUGUUCCAAGGCUGGGUGGGUUCUGAGCUUGAUUUCAAUUACGUGGGGAGCACGACCUUGUUGGCGAGCGCGAAGCGAGGCGGGCAGCGAGGGCGCAGCUAGCGGCCCAUCCGGCGAGGAAGAGGAAGCCCACGAGCGACACAGUGCGGCGGCGUAGGCGAGGGCAAGUGCCGGGUUGAGCGGCAGCGAGGACGGAAGGAAAUGAAGGAGGAGGAGGUUGGUGAAGAGGAUGGACCAGGCGAGAAGUGGUGCGCCGUGGUGUGCACCGUGUGCCAGUGUUGUGGCCGAAAGAAGGCGAACUGCACCUCCAGGCUGCUCCUUCACCGUCGCCACUGCUGCCAUGGACGACGGUAGGGGAAAGACGGGGACAAAGGAAGAGGGCAGUUUAGUGUAAAAACAAUUUUUCAGGUGCUAAACAGACGAACCCGAAAGCGGAGGUGCUCGCCCGCGUCGCGCUGCGCUCCGAUGCCUCCUCAUCUUCUUCCCCACCCGGCCUCUUCUAACAAUCGACUAGCCAUUCUUCCGUAGAUGAUGGCUUCCUCCCGAGUCCAAGCGAUUUUAAUCUCGAUCCGUGCCUCCGUGGCGGCGCUUGUUUAGGAUCCUGCUGGUUGGUGGAUUGCUGCAGGUUUCUUCGGUCAUCUGAAAGUCUUGUGUGUUGUAUAAGUUGAGCACAGAUGGUGGUGAUAUAACUAUUUUUUGCUACCAAGAUGGCUCAAAGGAGUCCCCCCACGAAUUUACAGGACAUCAUUCCACAAGACAAAGCUAAUAAAAUCAAUAGGGACAGUGCAACAGAACGAAUGCUCCCUAGAUCAUUUCUUAUGUUUUCUAUGUUUAUGCAGCAGUCAUGCUCAUACCUGUUACUGGUUUUAUUGGGACAGAAUCCAUAUUCUGUUGGUUCUUCCUUUUGUAAGUAAGCACCAAAAGUGCAUCGGCAUGAAAAAAGAAACUCCGUUGACAUUCACUAGUUUACACUCGAUUUAGCACUCUUGGAUGAAUGUAUCAGUUCUUGCCUUUUCUGCUUAUUUCAAACCGAUUUGCUAUGGAGUUAAGGAGAUACAUGAAACCAAUAGUGAAGGUGUACAAAUGCAGUUUACCUCUGUUUUCAGUAAUCCCCCAGGCGUCAUUUGUCUUUGCUUUCAGGUUUCUCUUGCCAACUGUAAUUUUGGACCAUGAAACUUAGUUCCACAAAAAAGGAGAAUCUUGGACUGGCUGGUCUCUGUGUGUGAUUAUGAAGAUCUGGACUUAAUCUGAGGUGUCUUUAUCAAAUGAACAUAAAUAUAUCAGCUUGGCAAAGUUGACUAGAGAAGCAUUAAGAGAUAGUAGGGUGUCCAUGGAAGGCGACCUCAUUAUGUUGCAACGUGGGAGCAGCAGUACCAAUUGGAAGUCGAGGAUCACGGGGCUCUUGCACUGCGGGCACCGUGGAUCAUCCUGCGGGAGCAUGACGUAGAUGAAGCAGCGUGGGCAGGCGGCGAGCACCAUGGACGUCGCCUCCGGGCUGUUGGACCACUGCAGGCCGUGCUCGUUCUCCGACGACAGGCACGAGCUCGGUGACGACUCCUCGUCGGCCAUCGCCCUCCGGGGCGACGAGUCACCUCUCGCCGGCAGCGAGAGGUUCAGCUUCAGGUCGAUGCCCCUCGAGCUCUUCUUGUUGCUGCGGCUCAUCCCGAGAGGUAAAGUCUCGAAGUUGAAGGCAACUACGAAGCGAAGAAGGUUGACCCAAAUGGCGAGCUCAUAACUGUGCCACUAGUUUACUGCUUAGUACUGGAUAUGGUAUAUAAUUGUAUCUUUGCACGUAUAUAUUGCCAUUAGUCGGUGUAUGGGGGCCAAACCCAUGUGCUCUUCUUUAAUUCCAUGGAGGCAUCUAAGGAGCUUAAUUAGAGAUUAUGAGGGAAAAUAAUCUCCACCGUGAGUUCUGCAUUCUUAUUGUGGUUGAAUUGUGCAAAGCAAUUGAUUUCUAAUGCAAAAUAGUUGGAUAUAUUGCGAUUUUCGCAUAAGGGACAAAGUUGUUGGCAAAAUUCACAAAUUAAUCACUUUUGAAGCUCCAGGUGAUUAUCUGUU